UGGGGAAUUUUGCACAAUGGGCGCAAGCCUGAUGCAGCGACGCCGCGUGAGGGAUGGAGGCCUUCGGGUUGUGAACCUCUUUCGCUCAUGGUCAAGCCGCGGAUGUGUCCGUGGUGAGGGUAGUGGGUAAAGAAGCGCCGGCUAACUACGUGCCAGCAGCCGCGGUAAUACGUAGGGCGCGAGCGUUGUCCGGAAUUAUUGGGCGUAAAGGGCUUGUAGGCGGUUUGUCGCGUCUGCCGUGAAAUUCCCUGGCUUAACUGUGGGCGUGCGGUGGGUACGGGCAGGCUUGAGUGCGGUAGGGGAGACUGGAAUGCCUGGUGUAGCGGUGGAAUGCGCAGAUAUCAGGAGGAACACCGGUGGCGAAGGCGGGUCUCUGGGCCGUUACUGACGCUGAGGAGCGAAAGCAUGGGGAGCGAACA
rnacentral:rRNA from 1 species